UGCAGACAUAUCAUGUUGAAACACUGGUUCUCAUAUGAUCACUGAAGUUAAGCAAUGUUGAACCUGGUCAGUACCUAGAUGGGUCACUGCUUUGGAAUAACAGCUGCCGUAAG